rnacentral:rRNA from 1 species
UACGGAGGGCGCAAGCGUUGUUCGGAAUUACUGGGCGUAAAGCGCGUGUAGGCGGUUUGGUAAGUCGGGUGUGAAAUCCCCGGGCUCAACCCGGGAACUGCAUCCGAAACUGCUUGGCUAGAGUCCCGGAGAGGAAGGCAGAAUUCCCGGUGUAGGGGUGAAAUCCGUAGAUAUUGGGAGGAACACCAGUGGCGAAGGCGGCCCCCUGGACGGUGACUGACGCUGAGACGCGAAAGCGUGGGGAGCAAACAGG